rnacentral:rRNA from 1 species
GAUGAACGCUGGCGGCGUGCCUAAUACAUGCAAGUCGAGCGAACAGACGAGGAGCUUGCUCCUCUGACGUUAGCGGCGGACGGGUGAGUAACACGUGGAUAACCUACCUAUAAGACUGGGAUAACUUCGGGAAACCGGAGCUAAUACCGGAUAAUAUAUUGAACCGCAUGGUUCAAUAGUGAAAGACGGUUUUGCUGUCACUUAUAGAUGGAUCCGCGCCGCAUUAGCUAGUUGGUAAGGUAACGGCUUACCAAGGCAACGAUGCGUAGCCGACCUGAGAGGGUGAUCGGACACACUGGAACUGAGACACGGUCCAGACUCCUACGGGAGGCAGCAGUAGGGAAUCUUCCGCAAUGGGCGAAAGCCUGACGGAGCAACGCCGCGUGAGUGAUGAAGGUAUUCGGAUCGUAAAACUCUGUUAUUAGGGAAGAACAAAUGUGUAAGUAACUAUGCACGUCUUGACGGUACCUAAUCAGAAAGCCACGGCUAACUACGUG